rnacentral:misc_RNA from 1 species
GAUGAAGAACGUAGCGAAAUGCGAUAAGUAAUGUGAAUUGCAGAAUUCAGUGAAUCAUCGAAUCUUUGAACGCACAUUGCGCCCGCCAGUAUUCUGGCGGGCAUGCCUGUCCGAGCGUCAUUUCAACCCUCGAACCCCUCCGGGGGUCCGGCGUUGGGGAUCGGGAACCCCUAAGACGGGAUCCCGGCCCCGAAAUACAGUGGCGGUCUCGCCGCAGCCUCUCAUGCGCAGUAGUUUGCACAACUCGCACCGGGAGCGCGGCGCGUCCACGUCCGUAAAACACCCAACUUCUGAAAUGUUGACCUCGGAUCAGGUAGGAAUACCCGCUGAACUUAAGCAUAUCAAUAAGCGGAGGA